rnacentral:rRNA from 1 species
UGAGGAAUAUUGGACAAUGGGCGGAAGCCUGAUCCAGCCAUGCCGCGUGCAGGAAGACGGCCUUAUGGGUUGUAAACUGCUUUUCUAUAGGGAGAAGAUAUGCUACGUGUAGUGUAUUGGCCGGUACUAUAGGAAUAAGCAUCGGCUAACUCCGUGCCAGCAGCCGCGGUAAUACGGAGGAUGCAAGCGUUAUCCGGAAUCAUUGGGUUUAAAGGGUCCGUAGGCGGUUAUAUAAGUCAGUGGUGUAAGUUCUGGGCUCAACCGAGGAAUUGCCAUUGAAACUGUAUAACUUGAAUUAUUGGGAAGGAGAUAGAAUGUGUAGUGUAGCGGUGAAAUGCAUAGAUAUUACACAGAAUACCGAUAGCGAAGGCAGUUUUCUACUGAUAUAUUGACGCUGAGGGACGAAAGCUUGGGUAGCGAACAGGAUUAGAUACCCGUGUAGUCC